AGAGUUUGAUCCUGGCUCAGGACGAACGCUGGCGGCGCGCUUAACACAUGCAAGUCGAGCGAUGAAAAUCAAACAGAACCCUUCGGGCUGAAGUUUGGAAGGAUUAGCGGCGGACGGGUGAGUAACACGUGAGUAACCUGCCUUUGACACGGGGAUAGCCACCGGAAACGGUGAUUAAUACCCUAUGAAAUCGUAGUGACACAUGUCAUAACGAUCAAAGUNAAUUAGCGGUCAAAGAUGGACUCGCGUCUUAAUUAAUUGGUGAGGUAACGGCUCACCAAGGCCACGAUCAGUAGCCGGCCUGAGAGGGUGAACGGCCACAUUGGAACUGAGAAACGGUCCAAACUCCUACGGGGAGGCAGCAGUUGGGGAAUAUUGCACAAUGGGGGAAACCCUGAUGCAGCGACGCCGCGUGAGCGGAGAAGGCUUUCGAGUCGUAAAGCUCUGNNCUAUGGGAAGAUAAUGACGGUACCAUACGAGGAAGCCCCGGCUAAAUACGUGCCAGCAGCCGCGGUAAUACGUAGGGGGCGAGCGUUGUCCGGAAUCACUGGGCGUAAAGGGUUCGCAGACGGUUUAGCAAGUCAGAUGUNAAANGCAAGGGCUCAACCCUUGUAAGCAUUUNAAACUAAUAAACUUGAGUAGUGAAGAGGUAAGUGGAAUUCCUAGUGUAGCGGUGAAAUGCGUAGAUAUUAGGAGGAAUACCGGUGGCGAAGGCGACUUACUGGUCACAAACUGACGCUGAGGAACGAAAGCGUGGGUAGCAAACAGGAUUAGAUACCCUGGUAGUCCACGCCGUAAACGAUGAGUGCUAGGUGUCGGANAAUUUCGGUGCCGNANUUAACACAAUAAGCACUCCGCCUGGGGAGUACGUGCGCAAGCUUGAAACUCAAANGAAUCGACGGGGACCCGCACAAGCAGCGGAGAUGUGGUUUAAUUCGAAGCAACGCGAAGAACCUUACCAGGGCUUGACAUAAUAUUGACCGCUCUAGAGAUAGAGCUUUCCCUUCGGGGACAGUAUUACAGGUGGUGCAUGGUUGUCGUCAGCUCGUGUCGUGAGAUGUUGGGUUAAGUCCCGCAACGAGCGCAACCCUUACCUUUAGUUGCCAGCAUGUAAAGAUGGGAACUCUAAAGGGACUGCCGAUGAUAAACCGGAGGAAGGUGGGGAUGACGUCAAAUCAUCAUGCCCUUUAUGUCCUGGGCUACACACGUGCUACAAUGGCGGGUACAAAGAGCGGCGAGCUAGUGAUAGUAAGCGAAUCUCAAAAAGCCUGUCUCAGUUCGGAUUGUUCGCUGCAACUCGACUACAUGAAGUUGGAGUUGCUAGUAAUCGCGGAUCAGAAUGCCGCGGUGAAUGCGGUCCCGGUUCUUGUACACACC
rnacentral:rRNA from 1 species